AACGUAGGAGGCGAGCGUUAUCCGGAUUCACUGGGCGUAAAGCGCGCGUAGGCGGUUGGUUAAGUCGGAUGUGAAAGCCCCUGGCUCAACUGGGGGAGGUCAUUCGAUACUGGCCGGCUUGAGGGUGAGAGAGGGGAGUGGAAUUCCCGGUGUAGCGGUGGAAUGCGUAGAGAUCGGGAGGAACACCAGUGGCGAAGGCGGCUCCCUGGCUCACUCCUGACGCUGAGAGCGCGAAAGCGUGGGGAGCAAACGGG
rnacentral:rRNA from 1 species